rnacentral:misc_RNA from 1 species
CAGAGUUCGUGCCCUCACGGGUAGAUCUCCCACCCUGUGUUAUUAUACCUUUGUUGCUUUGGCGGGCCGCCCUCGGCUACCGGCCCCGGCUGGUACGCGCCCGCCAGAGGAUUCUACAAACCUGAUUAUUAGUGUCGUCUGAGUACUAUAUAAUAGUUA